ensembl:lncRNA
CCUCAAGAUAAACAAAUCCAAGUGUUGUGUGGUUAAGUGUAAAAUCUGGGCAGUUCUGUGCUUCAGAAUGUGUGUGGUUUAGAAGAUAGACUCUCAUGGGGAUGUGGUGAAAUGUGUGAGUCUGACAGACAGUAGCUCAGACUUGAACUGGGCCCUGUAGCCCAGCUCUGAUUCACAGUUGAAACAUAAAUAAAAGCCACUGGCUAUUAUUUAGAGAGAAGGUGUUUUUGAAGAAAGCCUCACCCUGGGACAUGAGAUGGAGGGAGGAAGGAAGAGACAGUGCUGGGAGGGAAUCUUCAAUAAAGAAAGGGGGAAAGAAAUCUUGUGUUGUACAGCAGAUCGUCUCUCACUUGAAUUUGGUUUUCUCCUCAGGACACAGAAGACUAAAGAAAGCCAUAUGGGUUUGGAAUGAUGAGGGCUGUGUAUGGAGAUGGCGCCGCCUCCGCAGUGCAUUGACAUGCAAACCAGAUCCCACUAGAGACAUGAAGAGAAGUAUUAAACUGAGGACUGACUGA